GCACAUCUCAUCAUAUACAAUAGGCAGAUAAACUUUCACAUAAAAGUGAGCUCAUGUGACAUAGAUAUAUCGUAUGAUUUCACAUCACCUCUCACACUGAUCCGAUGUCACAUAAUCAUAGGAAUAGUCUCAUAGAUUGCUCUCGUAUGCAUCACAUAACUACCUUAUGAUUUAGUGCAAAUCAAGCUCACAUAUAAACUUGGAGUACAUACCUGUUUAACCUUUCGCAUUGAAUAUAUUUAUAAGCAAUUCUUAUUACGAAGUCUUACCCGGACAUAAUCUCCACACGAAGUUAUCGGGUCUUACCCGGACAAAAUUCCCACACGUAGUCAUCGGGUCUUUAGAGCUCGGAUAUAGUACGAGCACGAAGCUUACGGACAUUAAUCAGUGAUAAUAUUCUCGCAUAAAGCCUGCGGGGUUUUAACCCGGAUAUAGUACUGACACAAAUGCCCUUCGGGACUUAUCACAUUUAUGCACUUUCACAUCCAUCACGUUGGCCACUCGGCCCUGUCACAUAUAUACACUUUCACAUUCAUCACAUCGGCCAUUAGGGUUUAUCACAUAUAUACACUUUCACAUUCAUCACAUCGGCCAUUAGGCCUUAUUACAUAUAUACACUUUCACAUUCAUCACAUCGGCCAUUAGGCCUUAUCACAUAUAUACACUUUCACAUUCAUCACAUCGGCUAUUAGGCCUUAUCACAUAUAUACACUUUCACAUUCAUCACAUCGGCUAUUAGGCCUUAUCACACAUAUACACUUUCACAUUCAUCACAUCGGCUAUUAGGCCUUAUCACACAUAUACACUUUCACAUUCAUCACAUUGGCCAUUAGGCCUUAUCACAUAUAUAUACACUUUCACAUUCAUCACAUCGGCCAUUAGGCCUUAUCCCAUAUAUACACUUUCACAUUCAUCACAUCGGCUAUUAGGCCUUAUCGCAUAUAUACACUUUCACAUUCAUCACAUCGGCUAUUAGGCCUUAUCACACAUAUACACUUUCACAGUCAUCACAUCGGCCAUUAGGCCUUACUAUCAUUUCAUAUUCGAAUACUCAUAAACUUACAAUAUCACGAUUUAGAAUUCAAGUAUAGGUUUAAUCAAUAGCUUAUGAGCAACUAAAACAAGUUUAUCAAGGUUCACAACAUAAUCUCAAAUUCAGCACAAGCUGUUUUUCCUGAGCAAUAGUCACUAAAUUAUUUAUAACUGGAGCUACAAAACUCCAAAUCACUUUCCGUUAAUUUUUCCUGAAUAUAGACUCGUAUAUCUUUCAUCCAUAAAAUUUCCAGAAUUUUAGGUUUGGCCAAUCAAUACCAGAUUUUUCUUAAAGUUUCCCCUGUUUCACUAUUUGACUAAUCUGACCACUCUUCACUACGAAUCAAAUUUCUCAUUUUACUAAAUUCAAAAUGUGUUGUAUUUGAUUUCAUUUGAAACUAUACUCAUUAAGGAGUCUAAACAUAUAAAUUUUAUCUUAUAACCAUUUUUGUACAAUUUAUAAUGAUUUUCUAAAAACAGAACAGAGGAUUACAGUGUCAUUCUGCGCUGUCUCACACAACUUUAAGUAUCUCAUUAUCGGAAAUUCCUUUGCUUACAUGGUUUCUUUUAUAACAAACUAGACUCAUUAAGCUUUAAUUUCAUGUCUCAUUAAGCCUCUAAUUCAAAUCCAUAAAUUUAUGGUGAUUUUAUAAAGUCACGUUACUGCUGCUGUCCUAAGCAGACUAUUUCAAAUUACCCUUGAAUUCCCAAGCUCAAACACUUAAGAACUUACCAUUUGAGCUUAGAACAUAUCAUGGCCACAUCAUAUCUUAUUAAAUCAACUCAUCAUGUCCUAUUAUAAUUGAAUUUACUCAAUGUUUAAUCACUUAAAACUUACCUCGGAUGUGGUCGAACAAUUUCAGCGGCUAUUCGAUCACUUUUUCCUUUCCCUUAUCCAACUGUGGUCCUCUAAGCUCUUGAGCUAAUUCAAACAAAUUUAACUUAUUAAAGUCUCAUUAUGCUAGCUUAUGGCCGAAUAUGACAAGGAGUUUGAUUGGUCAUAUGGCCACCUUCUAGCUCAACUACACAAUGGUCAUAUGCAUUUUUAAUCACAUCAAGCAAUUUAAUACAAUUCAUUCGAACAUCAAAAGAAAACCUCAAGGUACUUAGCCCAUAUAUACUUUAGGCAUUAGAGUCACAUAUAUAUAUGGAAUCAUGAAUCAAACUCAACAUUUUAGCUAAUAUUCCCCCUUGGCCGAAUUUUCUAAGCCAAGACAAAAGCAUCAAUAUGCUUGCCUCUAACCGAAUACAUGCAACACCAAUCUUCUUCCUAUGGCCGAAUAUGCAUGUCUAUGUUUAGGCCGAUUAUAUACUUAAUACCACACAUAAAUGGCAUACAUUUUACUAACUAAUGCAUUACAUAUUAUUUAACCAUGUAUAUCACCAAUCAAUUUCAUCACAAUUUCACUUAAGCCUAUUCUCAAUACAAUACAUCGUGCUCAAAUCAUUAUUCCAGUUCAAAUUCGGCCAGCACACAUAUACAUACUAGCAACUAUGUAUUAACAUUGCAUUUCAUACUAUAACCGAAUGUAUAGCUCAUCGAAAUAUAUUUAUUCAUGUUCCCUUAACACAUAUUGGUCAACUAGAUCAUGCAUUAUUCUUUGGCACAUUUGGUCAUUAAAGCAAUCACCUAUUUAACUUUCAAGCAUUUUUAUACUAACAUUUCUCCCAAGGCCGAAUUUAUAUACAACCUUUAGUACUCAUUUAAAGUUUAUAUUUUAAGUAAUUAAUAUACACAAUAUUAACCAAAUAUCCAUUUACUAAGCAUUUUAACAAAUUUUCCUUCAACUAUCCACACAUUCGGCAAUCACAUAAUCAAACACUAAACCUUAACUUCCAAGCCAAAACAACUAGCAAUUUCAACACAUCCAACAUAAUUUUCCAUGCUAAUGACAUCAAAACAACUACUAAGAAUUUCAAGCUCCUUGGCCGAAUUUCAAUCUUCCAAAAUAACAAAAAUUUGAGCCAUGAAAUAGGUAGAAUUCAAACUAACCAUUCAAUUUAUGCAUGAAUUUCCAAGAGUAGCAUUGUACAUACCUUGAUCUAGCAAUCUCCUUAGCUGAAAAUUUUAACAACAAAAAGGAAAUUUCUUCUCCACCCUUUCCUAGCUACGGCAAUGGAGGAAUAAACCAACUUUGGUUUCUCCUCCCACUAACACAUUAUUUUUAUUACCCAUACUCUUUUAUUCAUCUUUAAUUCAUCUAAUACAUUUUUUAUUACAUAUUUCUCACCACUAAUAAAUAUAAUAAUAUUAACCCAUGCAUAUAAUGCCCAUACUUAUAAGCUUGGCCGACCACUAGCAUUAAAAGUGGCAAAUUGGCAUGCAAACCCACUUAUUUGCAUCAUUCAAUAAUUAAUCACUUAAAAUAAGCCACACAUAUAUUCAAAGCUUCUCACAUAAGUCCUUUUUAUUUAGAAACACAUUCAAAUUGACAAAAAUCAAAGCAUUCAAAUUUCACACAUGCAUGAUCACAUAUUUUAGACAUAAAAUAUUAUAUUCAAUUAUUUCUGCAACUCGGUUUAGCGGCCCCGAAACCACUUCCCGACUAGGGUCAAAUUAGGGGUGUCACAACUCUUCCCCCCUUUAGGGAUUUUCGUCCCCAAAAAUUUCUACCGAUGCAUAGUUUAGGAUAACGUCCUCUUAUUCAAUUAUAUUCAUAUAAACAUUAGCUCAUCGAUGGCAAUUGUAAUUCAUUAUUGAUUUCGCAUCGAUCUGUAAAAUCAUUUUCUUAUCUUAAAACAAAUACAUAAACAUUUCUACAAGUAUGCACAUAUAUCUCAUUUUCUUGAUUUCAUAAGUAAUAAUCACUUAAUUUAAUUCACAAUUGCAUCUCAAACACAUAUUAAGCACAUAUUAAUAUGUAUAAUUCACAUCAUCAACCCACAUAUUUGUAACCCAUGUUUUCAUUCAUAAAUAAGCUGUAACCUAUCCGAAAGUACACAUAUACUCAAACAUCCCAAUAAAUAUCCUUUAUAACUUUAUCACAUCUCAAUAUUCAACUUAACUCAUUUCCAAAAGAAAAGUCAACUUCCACGUACCUGAACAUUUAGUUCAUUUAGCACAUUCAAUCAUAGUUAACGUUACCCGUAUACAGUCGAAUAGGCAUAAAGCCUAAUAUAAUACUCUGGCAUGAGAUUUAUUCUAGCGCAUAACUCGUAUAUCCAAAAUUAUCAACAUUCAUCAAAAAUUCUUUCAAACUUUCGAAUGUCGAAACUUAAUCAAAAUAAUUUCUUGAACAAGAUUAACAAAAUAGUGUCCAUUCAGCAAUAGCACAUAUAGCUCUUACAAUGCCAUAUCCUAGAUAUGGUCCUACAUAUUCUCACAUAUCGAGCCGAUGCCAUGUCCCAGACAUGGUCUUACACACUAUCUCAAAUCAAUGCCUUCAUCCCAAACGAGGUUUUACAUGAAUUCCACUUCACACACUUAGUGCCCACUGACCGAUCUCGCACUCAUAGUGCUCGGUUAAAGGAAUUCGCACACACACAGUGCCUCUAAUUAUUCACAUACAUAGUGCUCUUAUUCAUUCGUUAAUACACAUUGAUAUGACUUAACCAAGUCUAUAAACAUCAUGUAUGUACACUUUUAAACAUAUCAUCUCAUUUAAAUUUGAAUUCGUAUAGUAAUGAAUACUUAAACUUUGCUCAAAUUACCGGCACGAAGCCUACUAGGCACGAGGGCCCGAAUACACGUCACCAGCAUGAUUGCUCUUCGGGACUUAGCCCGGAUACAUCGCUAGCAUGAAUGCUCUUCGGGACUUAGCCCGGAUUUAGUAACUCGCACCAAUGCCUUCGAAUCUUAGUCCGGAUAUGGUCACUUAGCACAAAGCCUUCGGGACUUAGCCCGGACAUCAUUCGAAUAACCAUGCACAUUUAACAAUAAAUCAUGACACAUUCGUAUUUCAUUUUCAUUAGCAAAACUCAAACACAAGACACUUAUCAUUCUUGCAAUUUCAGCUCAAUAGCCACACACAAAGAGCUUGAUUUUGAUUUGCUUAAAACAUGAUCUAAUCAAAUCAUAAUUUAAGCUCUAUUACUCAAGAACUUACCCCUUUCCGCUGUCCGAAAUCGACUUGGUAAGGUCGCACCCUUAAUAUAAAUAAUUGAUAGAAAAUAUAUAUAUAGUGGGUUCGCACACAUAGUGCUUAAUAAUCAACCACGCACACUUAGUGCCAUGUACUUUAAACUCGCACACUUAGUGCCAUGCAUUUCAAGCCCGCACGCUUAGUGCCAAUCUCACAACCGUGAACACUUAUUGCCCGCACACUUAGUGCCAAUCUCACAACCAUGAACACUUAUUGCCCGCACACUUAGUGCUGAAAACCAACCACUCUAUACGCUUCACUGCCUUUUUACAUUCGACAAUUUCGUCUCUACAUACAUAUACACAUAUAGCAAUACAUAUUAGUAUAUCAUUUACAUUACUUGAAUACAAACACAACAUGCUUAUCGACCAUUCAACUUCCAGUUCCAUAGCCACAUACAAAAAUCACAUUUAUAGUCAUAACACUCCUUCAAAAUUGCAUCACUUAUACCCUUAUAAUUCAAUCCAAAUCAAAAUUCAAAUAUGAGUACAUGAUACGUACCUGAUCAACUGAAUAAUUUAGGCAUAUCUAAAUGAAGUUAUAUCGCAAAUUCUCAUAGUCAGAAGCUUGCUACAGCUCGAUCGGGAUCAAGAUUCAUUACAAUACAGCAAAAACAUUUUAAUAGCCAAAAAUCAUCACACUAUCAUUUUAUCACUUUAUGGCAUGUAUAAAUAGACUCACCCGUGCUACGUUAGUCCUAGAAUCGACUAAACCGUAGCUCUGAUACCAAUAAACUUGUAACAUCCCGUACCCGAGACCGUUGCCGGAGUCGGGCACGAGGGGUUCACAGACUAAAUUCGCUUACUAUCGCAGUCCAUUUUAAAAUUUUCCAGGCAGUUGGCUAACUGCGACACUAUCACCUUAAAAAUCAUAUCUUGAGUUUCACAACUCGAAAAUCGGUUUCGUAAUUUUUCCCUGAAACUAGACUCAUAUGCCCAUCUACAUAUGUUUUUCUAGAAUUUUUGGCUGGGCCAAUUAGUACAGUUUAUUAGUCAAAGUAUCCCAUGUUACAGGGAUCGACUACACUGACCUUUGCGCAUUACGACUUGGAUAUCUCCCUGCACAGAGCUUCAAUACUGAUGCCGUUUGUUUCUAUAGAAACUAGACUCAUAGAGGAAUCUAUAAAUAUAUGGCAUGACUCCUAAUUAUCUCUGGUUAAUUUAUAAUGAAUUUCCAAAGUCGGAACAGGGAAUCCAGAAACCGUUCUGGCCCUGUCUCACGAGAACCUGAAUAUCUCUUAACAUACUGUCCAUAUGAUCAUUUCGUUACAUUCCUAUGAAAAUAGAUUCAUCAAGGUUCGUUUAAAUCAUUUAUUCAUUAUUUAAUUCCAAUCCUACUAUUUUUAGUGAUUUUCCAAAUCUACAUCACUGCUGCUGCCAACAUCUGCCUUUAAGGUAGACUUUACCUAUUUCAUAGUUUCCAUGAUUCAACUAGCCCUUUUAGCAUAAAUAGCACAAAUUAUGAUAGUGAUUAACCAUUCCAUACCAAAUGAUUAUAACAUUAUGCUCAAACAUAUAUAAGCCAUUUUCGCAUGGCUAUAUACAUUAACCAAAAUAUUCUUCCGCCACUAGUCUAUUUUAUACAUGCCAUAAGAUAAUCCAAAACAUAGCAGUACCAAACAGUGGAUAGUGAUAGUGUGACUAGUUGCUGACGAUCCCCGAGCCUGUAGCUUCACAAUGAGAUCUAUAAAACAGAGAAAACAGAGUAAACGGAGUAAGCAUUACAAUGCUUAGUAAGUUUUAAGCAGUGUCAACAGGUAACAAUCAAAUUAUAACAUAGUUGUUCGUAUUUUUAUUUCACUCUUCCUUCGGCCAUACCAUCCCUUUACCGAAUAUGCACAUCUCAUCAUAUACAAUAGGCAGAUAAACUUUCACAUAAAAGUGAGCUCAUGUGAGAUAGAUAUAUCGUAUGAUUUCACAUCACCUCUCACACUGACCCGAUGUCACAUAAUCAUAGGAAUAGUCUCAUAGAUUGCUCUCGUAUGCAUCACAUAAAUACCUUAUGAUUUAGUGCAAAUCAAGCUCACAUAUAAACUUGGAGUACAUACCUGUUUAACCUUUCGCAUUGAAUAUAUUUAUAAUCAAUUCUUAUUACGAAGUCUUACCCGGACAUAAU
rnacentral:lncRNA from 1 species